CGUUGAAACACUACUUCCCAUAAAAUCACUGAAGUUAAGCAACAUCGAACCUGGUCAGUACCUAGAUGGGUGACUACGUGGGAAUGCCAGGUGCUGUAAG